rnacentral:rRNA from 1 species
UACGUAGGGGGCGAGCGUUAUCCGGAUUUAUUGGGCGUAAAGCGUUCGUAGGCGGUCUGUUAAGUCUGUGAUUUACGGCUGGAGCUUAACUCCAGUUUGUUACAGAAACUGGUAGACUUGAGUGUGGUAGAGGCAAGUGGAAUUUCUAGUGUAGCGGUUAAAUGCGUAGAUAUUCGAAGGAACACCAGUGGCGAAGGCGGCUUGCUGGACCAUUACUGACGCUGAGGAACGAAAGCGUGGGGAGCAAAUA